GCCGGCGUGAUGAAAUUGGCAGACAUGAUAGACUUAGAAUCUAUUGCGACGAGCGUGCAGGUUCAAGUCCUGUCGCCGGCACCA
rnacentral:tRNA from 1 species